UACGAAGGGGGCUAGCGUUGCUCGGAAUCACUGGGCGUAAAGCGCACGUAGGCGGCUUCUUAAGUCAGGGGUGAAAUCCUGGAGCUCAACUCCAGAACUGCCUUUGAUACUGAGGAGCUUGAGUCCGAUAGAGGUGGGUGGAAUUCCUAGUGUAGAGGUGAAAUUCGUAGAUAUUAGGAAGAACACCGGUGGCGAAGGCGGCGACCUGGUCCUUUACUGACGCUGAGGCGCGAAAGCGUGGGGAGCAAACAGG
rnacentral:rRNA from 1 species